GCCUCUAUGGCGUAGUGGUAGCGCGUGUCACUUGUAUUUCAAGAGAUGACAAGGUCUCUCGUUCGAUCCGGGAUGGAGGCA